UACGGAGGGGACUAGCGUUGUUCGGAAUUACUGGGCGUAAAGCGCACGUAGGCGGAUUUGUAAGUCAGGGGUGAAAUCCCGGGGCUCAACCUCGGAACUGCCUUUGAUACUGCAAAUCUCGAGUCCGGAAGAGGUGAGUGGAACUCCGAGUGUAGAGGUGAAAUUCGUAGAUAUUCGGAAGAACACCAGUGGCGAAGGCGGCUCACUGGCCCGGUACUGACGCUGAGGUGCGAAAGCGUGGGGAGCAAACAGG
rnacentral:rRNA from 1 species